GAUGAACGCUGACAGAAUGCUUAACACAUGCAAGUCGAUGGGGAAGUGGUGCUUGCCCCAUGGCAACCAUGGCGGACGGGUGAGUAACGCGUAAGGGACUUACCUGCAGGACUGGGAUAACAGGGGGAAACUCCUGACAAGACCGGAUAAUGUCAUGGAGCUGCGUGGCUUUAUGAUGAAAGGAGACGCCUGCGGAGAGCCUUGCGUCCUAUUAGCUAGUUGGUGAGGUAAUGGCUCACCAAGGCGAAGAUAGGUAGCCGGCCUGAGAGGGUGGACGGCCACAAGGGGACUGAGAUACGGCCCUUACUCCUACGGGAGGCAGCAGUGGGGAAUAUUGGACAAUGGGGGCAACCCUGAUCCAGCAAUUCUGUGUGCACGAAGAAGGUUUUCGGAUUGUAAAGUGCUUUCAGCAGGGAAGAAGUAAGUGACGGUACCUGCAGAAGAAGCGACGGCUAAAUACGUG
rnacentral:rRNA from 1 species